CUCAGAAACCGCGCGCUGGCUGCGCCUCCGGCUGUCCCGGGUUUGUGGCGCUUCGAGUGCCCGCCUUGGGAGGUUUCUUGUGAGGAGUACAUUGCUGAGCUUUUUAUCCUUUUAUCCUGUUUGUCAUUUUAAUGGCCCACAGGUUCUGAUUCCACAAGGAUAAGACAGGUCUGUGGUGUGAAUAAAAAGAAUCCUGAGGAACA
rnacentral:lncRNA from 1 species